GCGUUCCUUCCUUGUGUCAUUGGUAUGUAGUAUCUAAUAUUUUCUCCCUCCUUUCCUCUCCGAGUACCUCAGUUUGUAGGUUUUUCACUCUUCACUUUGGAGGCGGUGAAUUACGCGGAACGAGCAAAGCGAAACGAGAACAUCGUGAUGCAUCUACACGAGGCACCGGCUACUCUCGGUUUCCACAUGCCAGCAGAGUGGGAACCCCACGCGCAGUGUUGGAUGGGUUGGCCGGAACGCCCCGAUAAUUGGCGAGACGGUGCCGUUCACGCACAACGUGUGUUUGCCAGCGUAGCAUCUGCGAUCUCAAGAUUCGAGGCAGUAACGGUUUGUGCUAGCUCUGCUCAGUGGGAGAAUGCGAGGAGUCAGCUACCGGAACAUAUCAGGGUCGUGGAGAUGAGCAUGAAUGAUUCUUGGUUUCGUGAUAUUGGACCCACUUUUGUGGUGAGAAGAAGCACGCCAGAAGCUGGUAUUGCAGUUGACAGGAUUGCGGGAAUUGACUGGAAUUUCAAUAGUUGGGGAGGUUUUGAAGAUGGAUGUUACUUUGAUUGGAAUCUUGAUUCCCUUGUUGCUAAGAAGAUUUUGGACAUUGAGAAGAUUCCUAGAUUUUCACAUUCAAUGGUGCUUGAAGGUGGAAGCAUCCAUGUGGAUGGAGAAGGAACUUGUCUUACCACAGAAGAGUGUCUCUUGAACAAGAACAGGAAUCCUCACUUGAGUAUGAACCAAAUAGAGGAUGAACUUAAGGCAUAUCUUGGAGUCCGGAAGGUUAUAUGGUUGCCUCGUGGAUUAUAUGGAGAUGAUGAUACGAAUGGUCAUAUUGAUAACAUGUGCUGUUUUGUGAAGCCCGGUGUGGUUCUGCUGUCUUGGACUGAUGAUGAAACUGAUCCUCAGUAUGAAAGAUCUAUAGAAGCAUAUUCCUUGCUUUCAAAUGAAACUGAUGCCAAUGGUAGAAAGUUUGAAAUCAUUAAACUCCAUGUUCCCGGUCCACUCUAUAUGACAGAGAAAGAGGCUAAUGGGAUUGUUCAGAUGUAGGGUACUGCAAUUUCUUGAAGCAGUUUGUGACCAGUCAUCUUUUAAAUUUCAGUUUGUGCUAUGAAGAAAAUGAGCUCAUUAUAGGAAAACGGGUAUACCGAGCUUAAAUCAAUAUUGAUACCUGAAAUGGUUAAAGAUUGAAGUGGUGCUAUUUAUUACCCCUCUGAGGGAUAAAUUAUGAACUAGAGAGACUCAACUUCCAUUUAACGCUUCUUGCAUAAUUCUAUAUUGCUCAGGAUAAUGAUGCUAAACCUAGACUUCAAGGUACCAGGCUUGCUGCUUCUUAUGUAAACUUUUACAUUGCAAAUGAAGCUAUUAUUGCACCCCAAUUUGGAGAUAAGAAGUGGGACAAUGAAGCUAUACGAGUCCUAUCUGAGGCCUUCCCCCAUCAUGAAGUGGUGGGAAUUGAAGGUUCCAGGGAGAUUGUUUUCGCAGGUGGAAAUAUACACUGCAUUACUCAGCAACAACCAGCCAUUUGAGCGACGACAGUCUCCCAAUAUUCUUUGAUAGGUGUUGUAUUGGUGCUUUUGGGUUAUCAGGAUGACUGAUUAAAAUGGCCUGGUUUGCUCCUAUUGAGCAUGUAUGCUAAUCCCCAAAUCCAAUCGCUGCAUGAAAGUGCCUGCAAAUAGAUGGAAAAUCAUCGAAAAUAAAACCCGAUUAAUAUUUGAAGUCGUAACGUUGCGGUUUACCCUGCUGAACGAUUGAAUUAAUAUUUUAAAUUGUAAAAUCGUGGCUUAGUCCAUUGAAUGAUUGAAUUGGAUUUUUUUUAUGCAGAACAAAGUCAACAAACUUUAUUUUGUUGUAUCCAAUCUAUAAGAAUUAUUGGGAGGCACCGGACCACAAGGUUCUAUCUAACAUGGUCCAUGUUAACAUUGACCAUAGUGCAUAUUAAUAUUAAAAUGAGAAGUCAAGAUUUAC